AUUGAACGCUGGCGGCAGGCCUAACACAUGCAAGUCGAACGAGUGGCGGACGGGUGAGUAAUGUCUGGGAAAAUGCCUGAUGGAGGGGGAUAACUACUGGAAAAGGUAGCUAAUACCGCAUACAAUCAGAUGUGCCCAGAUGGGAUUAGAUUGUUGGUGGGGUAACGGCUCACCAAGGCGACGAUCCCUAGCUGGUCUGAGCGGAUGACCAUCCACACUGGAACUGAGACACGGUCCAGACCCCUACUGUAGGCAGCAGUGGGGAAUAUUGCACAAUGUGCGCAAGCCUUAUGCAGCCAUGCCGCGUGUAUUAAGAAGGCCUUCGGGUUGUAAAGUACUUUCAGCGGGGAGGCGUUACCCGCAGAAGAAGCACCGGCUAACUCCGUGCCAGCAGCCGCGGUAAUUC
rnacentral:rRNA from 1 species